rnacentral:rRNA from 1 species
AACGAACGCUGGCGGCAGGCCUAACACAUGCAAGUCGAGCGAAGCCUUCGGGCUUAGCGGCGGACGGGUGAGUAACGCGUGGGAACGUGCCCUUUGCUACGGAAUAGCCCCGGGAAACUGGGAGUAAUACCGUAUGUGCCCUUCGGGGGAAAGAUUUAUCGGCAAAGGAUCGGCCCGCGUUGGAUUAGGUAGUUGGUGGGGUAAUGGCCUACCAAGCCGACGAUCCAUAGCUGGUUUGAGAGGAUGAUCAGCCACACCGGGACUGGGACACGGCCCAGACUCCUACGGGAGGCAGCAGUGGGGAAUCUUAGACAAUGGGGGAAACCCUGAUCUAGCCAUGCCGCGUGAUCGAUGAAGGCCUUAGGGUUGUAAAGAUCUUUCAGUGGGGAAGAUAAUGACUGUACCCACAGAAGAAGCCCCGGCUAACUCCGUGCCAGCCGCCGCGGUAACAC